AACGAACGCUGGCGGCAUGCCUAACACAUGCAAGUCGAACGAGACCUUCGGGUCUAUUGGCGCACGUGUGCGUAACGCGUGGUAACCUGCCCUUAGGUUCGGUGUAACUCCCCGAAAGGUGUGCUAAGACCGGAUAAUGUCUUCGCACCAAGGAGUUAUCGCCUUUGGAUGGGCCCGCGUUGGAUUAGCUGGUUGGUAGGGUAAAAGCCUACCAAGGCGACGAUCCAUAGCUGGUCUGAGAGGAGGAUCAGCCACGCUGGAGAUGAGACACGGCCCAGAAUGGUACGGAAGGGAGCAGUGGGGAGUAUUGGACGAGGAGCGAAGGCGUGGUCCCGCAAUGCCGCGUAAGUGAUGAAGGCCUUAGGAUUGUGAAGCUCCUUGACCCGAGAUGAUAAUGACGGUACCGGGAGAAUAAGCACCGGCUAACUCCGUG
rnacentral:rRNA from 1 species